GAUGAACGCUGGCGGCGUGCUUAACACAUGCAAGUCGAACGAAGCAUUUGCGACAGAUUUUUUCGGAAUGAAGUUGCUUAUGACUGAGUGGCGGACGGGUGAGUAACGCGUGGGUAACCUGCCUUGUACUGGGGGAUAGCAGCUGGAAACGGCUGGUAAUACCGCAUAAGCGCACAAUGUUGCAUGACAUUGUGUGAAAAACUCCGGUGGUAUAAGAUGGACCCGCGUCUGAUUAGCUAGUUGGUGAGAUAACAGCCCACCAAGGCGACGAUCAGUAGCCGAACUGAGAGGGUGACCGGCCACAUUGGGACUGAGACACGGCCCAGACUCCUACGGGAGGCAGCAGUGGGGAAUAUUGCACAAUGGAGGAAACUCUGAUGCAGCGACGCCGCGUGAGUGAAGAAGUAAUUCGUUAUGUAAAGCUCUAUCAGCAGGGAAGAUAGUGACGGUACCUGAAGAAGAAGCUCCGGCUAAAUACGUG
rnacentral:rRNA from 1 species